rnacentral:tRNA from 1 species
UGGCGAGGUAGCUCAGUCGGUUGGAGCGCGGGAUUCAUAACCCCGAGGUCGCGGGUUCAAUUCCCGCCUUCGCCAUC